rnacentral:rRNA from 1 species
UACAGAGGUCUCAAGCGUUGUUCGGAAUUACUGGGCGUAAAGGGUGCGCAGGCCGCGCGGGCAGUCAAAUGUGUAAUCCAGGGGCUUAACCCCUGAACUGCGCUUGAUACUUCCGCGCUCGAGCUUUGGAGAGGAGUCUGGAAUUCUCGGUGGUAGCAGUGAAAUGCGUGGAUAUCGAGAAGAACACUUAGGGCGAAGGCAAGACUCUGGACAAAUGCUGACGCUCAUGCACGAAGGCUAGGGUAGCGAACGGG